GAUGGUCCUGCUCCGGGAAGACCCAAAGAAACCCAGAGCACAGUCAGAGUGCCAGCACAGGUUGAAGGAGAGGUGUGAGGAGAAGGGGAGGUUGUGAGAAGUGCAAUGGCUAUAGGAGGCAGGAGAGGAGAGAGAGCAUGUCCUGUGAGUGCAUUGGGAGGGAUAGGAGGGAGGCUAUUUGGCCCUUCCCCAGCACAGGUGGAGGAAGGAAGUAUGGAUAGCUGGGACAGAGUGGAGAUCAGUGCCAAUGACUCAAAAUGCAGGCCCAAAACAAAGUUUGUUAGCUCCCCACGGUGUGAUCACUACUGAAGCCAUGUCACUUUGACAGAAGAAGGAGGACCACCCGGGGCACCCCACAGCAAGGCGUGGUUGGAAUAGCCUUCAUCAGGGCUCCCAUUGGCCACUCUUGCCAAUGGUUAACAGAGUAGCUCUGACUCACUGGGGAUGAUGGUGUUCCUCCCAGCCUAACAGAUCCCUAAGCUGGGCCCUUUUCCCUUUUUCUUUCCCCUCCUGGCCAUCCUGACUCAAUGGGAAGUCUGGGUGCGUGGCUGAAGAUCCCAACACUACAUUGCGAGCUGAGGAUGUCCCAUGCAGUUGCCAAAGUAGAGUGGGCUGGGUCUCUUUCCCAGACCCUAUGUUAGAAAUGUGCUUUAUUCGUUUAUUUUUGCUUUUACUUAUUAUAUGUAUAUGGGGCCGGGUAACACACAUGACAUUGUGCAUAUAUGGAGGUUGGAGAACACUUUGUGAGAGUCAGUUCUCAACUACCAGGUGAGUUCCAGGGAUUGGUGGCAGUCAGGCUUGGUAGCAAGCACUCUUACCUGCUGAGCCAUCUCAGCAGCCCUCAAAGAUAUUUUCAGUGUGACUUUGCUGUCAUUAAGGGUUUCAUGUAGAAUCCAUGUGCUGUCAUUAAGGGUUGCGUGUAGAAUCCAUCACCUUUACUCUUUCUGAAAUAAUCAACUUCCCUGGAGGCCACCACUCAAAGUUUUUACUGUCCCAGGCUCCCAUGGCUUCACUUGGUAUACACAUUUAAACAAUAUUAUGAAAGAUAUGGUGUCAUUAUAUUCUGUUUAUAAUUAAUAAUACAUAACUAAUAUAAGAUAACACAUGUCAAAAUUUAACUGUGUAUUAAUAUAUCACGAAAUACAUAAUAUGUAUAUGAUAUAGUUGCAAUAAAAUAGUACAUAAUCC
ensembl:lincRNA Gm44421 predicted gene, 44421